rnacentral:rRNA from 1 species
CAGCAGCCACGGUAACACGAAGGGGGCUAGCGUUGUUCGGAAUUACUGGGCGUAAAGGGCGCGUAGGCGGCCAUUCAAGUUAGAUGUGAAAGCCCUGGGCUCAACCUAGGAAUUGCAUUUGAUACUGUUUGGCUUGAGUUCGGGAGAGGUGAGUGGAAUUCCCAGUGUAGAGGUGAAAUUCGUAGAUAUUGGGAAGAACACCAGUGGCGAAGGCGGCUCACUGGACCGACACUGACGCUGAGGCGCGAAAGCGUGGGGAGCAAACAGGAUUAGAUACCCCCGUAGUCCCUGUCUCUUAUAC